UACGUAGGGGCUAGCGUUAUCCGGAAUUACUGGGCGUAAAGGGUGCGUAGGUGGUUUCUUAAGUCUGAUGUGAAAGCCCCCGGCUCAACCGGGGAGGGUCAUUGGAAACUGGGGGACUUGAGUGUCGGAGAGGAAAGUGGAAUUCCCAGUGUAGCGGUGAAAUGCGUAGAGAUUGGGAGGAACACCAGUGGCGAAGGCGGCUUUCUGGACGAUAACUGACGCUGAGGCGCGAAAGCGUGGGUAGCAAACAGGAUUAGAUACCCGUGUAGUCCCUGAGCGGGCUGGCAA
rnacentral:rRNA from 1 species